AGAGUUUGAUCAUGGCUCAGGAUGAACGCUAGCGGCAGGCCUAAUACAUGCAAGUCGGACGGGAUAGGAGAGCUUGCUUUCCUUGAGAGUGGCGCACGGGUGCGUAACACGUAUGUAACCUACCUUUGUCAGGGGGGAUAGCCUCUCGAAAGAGAGAUUAAGCCCGCAUAACAUUACAACAUGGCAUCAUGAAGUAAUCAAAUAUUUAUAGGACGAAGAUGGGCAUGCGGAACAUUAGCUAGUUGGUAAGGUAACGGCUUACCAAGGCUACGAUGUUUAGGGGAUCUGAGAGGAUGACCCCCCACACUGGUACUGAGACACGGACCAGACUCCUACGGGAGGCAGCAGUAAGGAAUAUUGGUCAAUGGGCGGAAGCCUGAACCAGCCAUGCCGCGUGCAGGAAGACGGCCCUACGGGUUGUAAACUGCUUUUGCAGGGGAAUAAACCCCCGGACGUGUCCGGGGCUGAAUGUACUCUGAGAAUAAGGAUCGGCUAACUCCGUGCCAGCAGCCGCGGUAAUACGGAGGAUCCGAGCGUUAUCCGGAUUUAUUGGGUUUAAAGGGUGCGUAGGCGGCCUAUUAAGUCAGGGGUGAAAGACGGUAGCUUAACUAUCGCAGUGCCUUUGAUACUGAUGGGCUUGAAUGUACUUGAGGUAGGCGGAAUGUGACAAGUAGCGGUGAAAUGCAUAGAUAUGUCACAGAACACCAAUUGCGAAGGCAGCUUACUAAAGUAUGAUUGACGCUGAGGCACGAAAGCGUGGGGAUCAAACAGGAUUAGAUACCCUAGUAGUCC
rnacentral:rRNA from 1 species